UUUUAGUGUUUUUUCCCUCUGUCUCUCCACGCACAGACGAGUUUUCACUCCAUUCCCAGAAGACAUCAACCGAUCUAGAAGGGGCUUACGGUCUUCAGGAUCCAGCACUGUUGUGUUACGACAGUCAGGGCAAAGUUUUCGACCAUCAUUCAGAGUGAUAUAAUUCAUAUCUCCUAUCUACAAAUAUAAUAAUUUCAAACAAAUCUUGGAGGAGUUCAUUCAAAGUCAGUCGAUUGAUGAUCAAGGUAGGCCAAUCCAACCAACCCAAGAUGAGCUCAUGGACAUGUGGAUUAAGGCAGUUGGUGGCGUGCAUAAGGGGAGAGUCUAGACCUUGGAUCAGAGUUUAGUCUCAGUCGUCAUACUUCUGGAUUGUGUUGUUCUUAUUCUUCCUCACAUUGCUAAGGGAGGAAGAAAUGAGGCGAAAGGACGACGCAUUAAGACUUGUCACUAGUGAUGUUGAAAGCCUCAAAUCUCAGAUAAACUCUCUUAGCAUCUGGUGUAUUUCCUCUGCCCCAUUCUCCGGCACCAUCUGAUGAUAAUUAAGGAGUAGUUUCUUGUAUUAAUUUGUCUUGGAUGAUACUUUGGAUGUUGAAUGUUGAAUGUUGGAUUUUUUGAGUUUUGUUCUACUCUGUUUAGUUGGAUAUUGUUUAUGAAAUGGAUUGAA